CUCUUUAGCUUGGCAUUUGAAUCGGCUUUGCUGUUGCGAAGUAGAGUGGCGGCUUCGGCUGCCGAGGGUCGAUCCAUUUGGGAAAUGUUGUGUACUUCGGUAUGCAUCUCAAUUGGACCUGAUAUCAGGCAAGAUUACCCGCUGAACUUAAGCAUAUUAAUAAGCGGAGGAAAAGAAACUAACAAGGAUUCCCCUAGUAACGGCGAGUGAAGCGGGAAGAGCUCAAGCUUAAAAUCUCCGUGCAAGUUUUGCGCGGCGAAUUGUAGUCUAUAGAGGCGUGAUCAGUGUGGGCGCUUGGGGCAAGUUCCUUGGAAGAGGACAGCAUGGAGGGUGAUACUCCCGUUCAUCCCUGAGUUGCUCGUGCGUACGAUCCGUUUUCUUUGAGUCGCGUUGUUUGGGAAUGCAGCGCAAAGUAGGUGGUAAAUUCCAUCUAAAGCUAAAUAUUGGUGCGAGACCGAUAGCGAACAAGUACCGUGAGGGAAAGAUGAAAAGAACUUUGAAAAGAGAGUUAAAGAGUACCUGAAACUGCUGAAAGGGAACCGAAUCGUUUCCAGUGUCUAUAAUCCGUGGUAUAUUUCAUUGGCGAGUGUGUGCGUGCGUGUGCUGUGGCAGCGGCUUUUUUGGCUGCGCUCGGCGUGUGUGCUGUGUGUGCUUGCUGGUGCCCUGUGCUGCGGUGGGACGUCAAGGUCAGUUCGUAUGCUGCGGGAAAUGGCCGCCGAGGAGGUAGGGCUUACGCUUGCGUUUGUCUGUUAUAUCUUGGUGGACGAGUAGUCGCGGUUGGGACUGAGGUGCCUACAACGUGUUUUUGAGUGGGCCUGUGUCUCUGUGUGCGCCGUGUGCGGAUAGCUUGCUAUGCGUGUGUGGUUGUGUGUGGAUUGAUGUGGGUUUUAACUUGUUGCCGUUCGGGACGUUGACGAAAUGGAGCGAUUUGACCCGUCUUGAAACACGGACCAAGGAGUCUAACAUGUGUGCAAGUGUUAGGGUGUGGAAACCCCAGCGCGAAAUGAAAGUGAAGGGCAGCGUAAGUUGUCUGAGGUAGGAAAUGCUGCGGGCUUCGGUCUGCGGUGUGGCACUAUCGACCGAUCAUGAACCUUCGUGGUGAAAGAUUUGAGUUUGAGCACAUAUGUUGGUACCCGAAAGAUGGUGAACUAUGCCUGA